GUUUGCUUUUAUAAACUCGUACACCAAAAUUAGAACAAUACAAAGAAGAUUAACAUAGGCCUUAUACAAGGAUGAUGCAAAUUCAUGAAAUGUUCCAUAUUUAA